ACAAAGUUGUACAAUUUUGCGUUAUUUUUUUCUCCUCUUUCUAUAUGUAAUUUAUGAUUUGCUAUUUUGUUAUUUUCUGGAGAAAGAAUUAAUUCGUCUCCUAUUGGAAAUUUAUCCUAUUCUCCAGUAAUGAAAAGAUGAAAGGUUUUGACAAAAAAAAAAAAAAAAAGGAAAUCAAUAGAUUUAAAAUAUUGAUUUGUUUUGUUUCAAUAAAAAAAAUAAAGAAACAGGAAAAAUGAGCAAAAUCUAAAGCUAAAUACUUUGUUGAUUUUUAAAUUUUAUGACUGAAUCUUGGUUUAACGUGUGGGUAUGGUUUUAGGUUUGGAUAGCCCGGGUUGUAAACUUGAAAUUAACUAUGUUUUGUUUUAAAUAAAUGUCAAACUAAAAACAUCCAAGUGGAGGUUAAAAGAGCAUCUAAUACGUAUUUGAUACAAAACAGGCUAUGCGCUAAGUGGAGACAAAGAAACCCUCCAACUAUUCACAGUCUCUCUGGUCUUCUCUCUCAUCGGGCCUCUAAAAGUCGUCGGCGAGUUAUCCGAUAUCAAAUCCUGGGGAUCCACAUCGUACAAGAGUACUGAAGGAUGCGUAGUUCUCCGAUAUCACAACGACGACGGCAAUCUUCGAUCAUCGGAUAGCAUGCGAGACCUCAGGAGAAAUCCUUCCUGUCUCCCGUCUCUCUGUAUUUCAUCACAUAGUUAUCAUCUUCUACUCAUUUAAAGAUUUUUCAGAUUUGGAAAACUUCUGAGACGACUUACAUAUUAGUCGUCUAAAAUAUAAUGCGCUAGAAGACUUCCAGGACGAUUGACUUGGAUGUCUUCUGACGGAGUCUUCUCACAUGUCUCCAUUUCAUAAUAGAUCUAAGCGUUUUAGUAAGUUUUUAUGUCUAAUUUUUCUUCAUCUGGUAACCUCAUGUUGCAUAAAGUUCUUACAUUUUUCCAAACUAAAACUCUUCAAACCUACUCUAAUCUCUUUGGCUUGAAAACACCUAACUUGAUAUGAAUUAUUCAUUUUUGUUUCAUAUCUUUCUCAUUAAUCAAUCUUUUUGUUGAAGGUUUUUAACCAGAUGGUUCUCCUCUUCCACUUGGAUAUGUACUCUGUGUAUUCUAUAAAAGCAUAUAUAUAUAUAAUAUUUCACUCAUUUUCUCUGUUUUUAAGCCAUUUGACAUUUUUGAUAUGCAUGUUUUUCAGAUCUGAGUUUGACAUACAUGUUUUUCAGAUAUAGAGCAGACAUUGGAAGACUGAUGGAAAAUCUUCUCGGAAAUCUUCUAAAAUAUAAUGCGCUGACUUCCUGGAAUUCUUCUAACGCAUUAUAUUUUAGAAGACUUCCGAGAAGACUUCCCAUGAGUCUUCCAAAAUCUUCUAAAAUAUAAUAUGCUAGAUCUCACGGAGUCUUUUUCCAUAUCAUGUAGAGCCCAAGCUUGUCUUUAUAGUGGAAUGAUCUAUAAUAGUUUUUUUGUGGUCUGUUUGUGAUUUGCAUGUGUAUUCUUUUAGUUGUGAUUUUUUUUCUAAAUUUGAAGAGAUAUUAAUAAAAAGUUUGGUAAAUAUGUUCAUAUUCAACAAUAUUAUCUUGCCAAAAUUACUUGACAUAACUGAAGUUAUUGAUACAACUUCAAUAGCAAAACACAAUAACACAAGAAAUUAAUCAAAUUUAUUACAACUAAGGGAGAAGAAUUCUCAAGAAAAGUUAAUCAAAUUCACAAAAGAUAAACCAUUACAUAAGUUCAAGGAUAUAACACUUUCAUUAGAAGUCUUUUGGGAAGUCUUCUCGGAAGACUUAAAUUUCAAGUAGAACAUUGAAAUAUAAGCGGAAAAUUUAAGCGGAAACUUAAAAUUUAAGAAGGAAAUUCAAAAUUUUAAGUGAAAAUUGAAAUUUCAAAUUUCUUGAAAGUUAAAAAGUAUAUCUACUGAUCUAAAAAGACACAUUAAACCAUGUUACUUGAUAUUCUUGAAGUUACUAAACACUUUUGAAAAUUAAAUAAACAUAUCUUAAAGUUACUUAACAAAUUUACAAAAACUAACAUAGAAUACUUCCAUGGAAACAUUAAUACACAUGAAUGUCAGUAAACUCAUAAUUAAAACCAAUUAAGUUAUGAAUUUCAUUCAGAAGCUCAAAUAUCGACUAAUAUACAUGAAUUAACAAAAAAAGUAUUAAAAAUUCUUUAUAGUUUUAGAGAAAAUGAAAAAUUAUUAAACACUGACGCAGACGAUUUCCAUGGAGGUCGUCAGGUAGACUUCUAGCAAAUCGUCCAUUUAGGAUAGUUUUGAAAUUGAUUUUAACCUAGAUGACUUACAUGGAAGUCGUCCAUUUUUGUUUGUUUAAAAAAAAUGAGACGAUUUCCAUGUAAGUCGUCUAGGAUAAACGGAUUAGUUUUGCAUUUGACCGGAUUGUGUCAGAAAUUUGAUUUAUCCUGGACGACUUACACAUAAGUCGUCCAGUAAAAAAUUAAAAAAUCAAUAUUGUGUUAUACCUAGACGACUUCCAUGUAAGUCGUCUCAGGUUAGUUUUGCAAUUGGGAAUAAAACAAAAAAAAUAUUUUUUUUCUAGACGACUUACAGGGAAGUCGUCCGCCCGAUGACUUACAUGGAAGUUAUCCAAGAUAAGCAAGGUUUGACCAGAAUCUCGGAAUAUAAUCAUGGACGAAUUUUGUGUAAGUCGUCUAACGGACGACUUCCGUGUAAAUCGUCUUAAGAAAAUAAAAUUUUAUGUUUUAUUUUUCAAUUGCAAAACUAACCUGAGACGACUUACGUUGAAGUCGUUUAGAUAUAACAAAAUAUUGAUUUUUUUAAAAAAAAUUAUUGGACGACUUAUGUUUAAGUCAGUCCAAGAAAAAUCAAAUUUCUGACACAAUCUGAUCAAUUGCAAAACUAACCCGUUUACCUUUGACGACUUACAUGAAAGUCGUCUCGAUUUUUUUUAACAAACAAAGAUGGACGACUUCCAUGUAAGUCGUCUAUAAAAGCACAUUUAAAAAUCAAUUGCAAAACUAACAUCUGCAUUGACCAGAAGACUUGCAUGUAAGACGUCUAUAGCCAGAUGACUUACCCGGAAGUCGACUGGGCGAACAGAUCUGAAAAAAAAAUUGAUUUCAUAGUUUCAACCAGUGAAAUAACUUGUUUAGCAUACAUAAGUCUUCUCCAAGCACACAAAAUCUCAAACAAAAGUGACCCACUAAGAAUCGUAAAAUUCAAUGGAUCUAUAAACCAUAAAAAUUUUAGAAACAAAAUCUUGGGUUUUUUGGAUGAAUAUGAAGAUAAAGUAAAGAGAUAUUGUUUUUAUUUCAUAAGAGUUGAGAAAGAGGAUGUGUAAAUCAAUUUUAGGUGCAUAAAGAGUUUUAAAUUAGUUGUUCAUGGUGGUUGGUAAAUACUUGAAUAUGAUGAGUUUGAGAGAGAGUAAAAAAGCCAUUUUCGAAAAAUAAUAAUUUAAUGGCAUUUUCAUUUUCAUGAAUAAUUUAAACUUGUGUGGUGACUAGGACAAAAAAAAUUUCAAAAGAAAACACAAGUUAGUUUUAUGGUUAAAUUUGAGUUUUGAGUCAAUUUUGCAAAAACCCCAAAAACACAUCUCAAUUUUUUUUUACGAUAUUAUUUUGAAAAUCAAUUUUUAGGUAUCAUUCUUAUGCUAAUUCAAUUAAUAAUUGAUUAUAAAUUUAUUUUAAAUGACUUAACAUAUUGUAUAACUGCAAUUAUUACAACUUUUAUUUUGCUUAGUUAAUUUUAGGUACGUUUAAAUAAAAUUAUUUCGUUUUAUAAAUUCUAAUAGUGGUCAAAAAUAAAUUUAUACUCAAUGAACUAAAAAUUAUAUAUAACUACCGUUGUUAAAAUUAUUUCUAUUUCUUUUUGAUUAAUUAAUUUUAGUUAAACUUUUGUUAAUUUAAUAUCUUUUUAACUUUUGAAUACAAUCAUAUAAGUUCGAAAUCCGAAAUUCAAACCGGGUAAAAGAGUCAAAUUUGUGUCCAACCUAAACCGUAAAAGAAUGUGUUCAAUAGCUUUAGAUCUUGAAAAUCUCAUCUAAUCAACCAUUCAUAUAAAACGAUAUGUAUUUUAUUAAUAAUAUUAAAAGAAAUCAUACACUCUUUUUUAAGUAUUAUAUUUAGCUUGUUUUUGUAAGUUUUAUAUUGAACAAGUUAUGAGCCCGUUGCGUUGCAACGGGUUUUGUGUGAUGUUUUAAUUUAAUAAAAACUUUAAAAUAAUAAAUAAUUUUAUUAUAGUUUUAUGAUUAUUUUUUGCAUAUGUUGUUUGAGAUUUAUUUUAUAAUUAAAACCUAUUUUUACACAUAAGUUUAAGUUAAUAGUUGUAUUUUAUAGUCGUACAUAGAUGAAUUGUUUUAAAUUUUGUACUUAGGAUUAGAUAAAAUACUAUAUCUAAACGUUUAAACUAAACACAGCCCGGAAUAAAAAAAACUGAAUGAAAAGUAAAAAGAAAUGAAAUUUAAAUACACCAA